rnacentral:lncRNA from 1 species
CAAUUCUCUUACCUCAGCCUCCAGAGUAGCUGGGACUACAGCUAUGGUCUUGGCAUUGGAUAAACGGGAGUGAACAAAACUAUCAAAACUCUCUCUCUCAUGGAGUUUACAUUUUGAUACCAGAAAUCAUGAAAACAAUGAAGACUAAAGGAACUGACAUUCCAGGAAAGGAAGAACCAUUCCUAAGGUAAGCAAAGAUCACUAGCCAUUUUCUUUCUUAUAGGUUUCCUGUGUAAUUUGUUUUGGAAAUUAAGCCUGCAGUUGCAGAUUUAGGGCUGAGAAUUAUACCUGCAUAGGCAAGAGAAAUGUCUCC